rnacentral:rRNA from 1 species
UAUGAUUAUGUGAUAGGUGGUGCAUGGCCGUUCUUAGUUCGUGGAGUGAUCUGUCUGCUUAAUUGCGUUUCAAAACAACUGAUACACAGAGUCUUGGCACAGUUCAGUUUAAUGGCGUCGAGUAUCUUUGAUUUCGACAGUAGUCCAACUCGGUUCGCCAGGGUCUCUUUUGAACGCAACGGACGUGAUCGCAACCCUUUGUUGAGUGAUGUCAGCACUCUACGUCUAUCCUA